GCACAAGCGGUGGAGCAUGUGGUUAAUUCGACGCAACGCGAAGAACCUUACCAGGGCUUGACAUCCCCUGACCGCGUAUGAAAGUACCGUUUUCACCCUCGGGUGACAGGGAGACAGGUGGUGCAUGGUUGUCGUCAGCUCGUGUCGUGAGAUGUUGGGUUAAGUCCCGCAACGAGCGCAACCCUUGUCUUCAGUUACCAGCAUUGAGUUGGGGACUCUGGAGAGACUGCCGGUGACAAACCGGAGGAAGGUGGGGAUGACGUCAAAUCAUCAUGCCCCUUAUGACCUGGGCUACACACGUACUACAAUGGCGUAUACAACGGGAAGCGAAGUGGUGACACGGAGCAAAUCUCACAAAGUACGUCUCAGUUCAGAUUGAAGUCUGCAACUCGACUUCAUGAAGUCGGAAUCGCUAGUAAUCGCGGAUCAGCAUGCCGCGGUGAAUACGUUCUCGGGCCUU
rnacentral:rRNA from 1 species